rnacentral:rRNA from 1 species
UACGAAGGGUGCAAGCGUUGCUCGGAAUUAUUGGGCGUAAAGCGCACGUAGGCGGCUUAGCAAGUCGGAUGUGAAAUCCCUCGGCUCAACCAAGGAAGUGCAUUCGAAACUGCUGAGCUUGAGUACGAAAGAGGAUCGCGGAAUUCCCGGUGUAGAGGUGAAAUUCGUAGAUAUCGGGAGGAACACCAGUGGCGAAGGCGGCGAUCUGGGUCGAUACUGACGCUGAGGUGCGAAAGCGUGGGGAGCAAACAGG